rnacentral:rRNA from 1 species
AUAACAAUACAGGACUCUUUACAGGCCCUGUAAUUGGAAUGAGUACACUUUAAAUCCUUUAACGAGGAUUUAUUGGAGGGCAAGUCUGCUGCAGAGCGACUGACCCAUGCGUGCUCCAG